ACAUCACCUUGCUCCUGACCUUGCUCACCCAGCCUCUGUGAUGGAAGAGAAAGCAGCUUCCGAGGGGUGAUCUUGGCUGUGAGUACUAGGGUAGGUAUGUGGAAAUGCUAUGGUGUCUCUAGUGCAGGGGUGCCAACCUGUUUUUUAUGAUUUAACCCCAAAGUUGUUGAGCUUUCUUUAGGAUUGAAGUUGUUGAGCUUUUCUGGGGAUUUUUGACCCCAAUAAAUAAACUGCCACAGGGGCUGCAUAAAGGUGGCCCCCAAAACAGACUUUGGACAUGCCUGCUCUUCUGGUGUGACCCACCCUGGCUGGCGAUGAACCCUGGAGUUUAUGGGGAAUCUUGAAAUGGCCUACUCCCACUGAAUCCUUUCUUUACAACAUGGUAAGAAAACUCUUACCACAGUGAUGAAUUAUUAGAACAAUAUUGUGAGGCAGAAUAUUGUGUGGUCCUCUGAGGCAGAAUUGUAUUUUGGUCUUUACUCAGAAAGAGAUAUAUGGUUUACUAAAAUGACUAAAAACAAUCCUAAAAUAUAUCUAGCAAUAAAAGCAGACUUGUAGAACAAUAGACAUAAUAAAAGGAUCAAAAUACAGCUAAAAUCAACAGAGUUUAAGUGCAAAUGCACAUAAAAUCAGGUUUGGUUUGCACAAAUCCAAAGGUUUUCAUCAGAUGUUGGAACAGUGCGAUGAAAGUUGAAGGCGAUUGAGCCGGAUCCGGCCCCCGGGCCUUAGUUUGCCUACCAAUGUGCUAACACAUUUACUGGCUCAAAAAAAAAAAAAAAAAAAAAAAGGAGCCACAUUUACUUGAUCAAAGAGCUCUCCGGGGCUGUACAAAUAAAAUUGUAGUUUAAACACAGCAAAACAAAAAACAACCCCCCCCCCCGAUUCUACAAUAUAUAUAUAUGUGCCCCAUGCUGUAGAAUACACACCUGUUUGAGGUAAGGGGUUUGAGGUAAGGGAUUAUAAUGGGCAAUGUGAUAUAUAUUUCAUUGGAAUGUCGUAAUGACAUGCCCUGCUAGAAGCUCCUCACAUCAUCAGUUAGGGGUAAUGCCAUUGAUUUCUCCUUUUUUUAAAAAAAACAACACAACAUUUUUAUUUGGUUUUACAAAUACAAAGUUAUCCAAACAGAGAUUCCUCUGAAUCUCAGGACUUCCCCUCAUCUCCUCCAUGGGGUCCAAUUUUAAACAUUUAAUACUGCAUAUUCUUUGAUACUCCAACUUUUAUAUCAGUGGCGUAGCGUGGGUUGUCAGCACCCGGGGCAAGGCAAGUAAUUUGCGCCCCCUAACCCCUCCACACUGCACCGCAUGCCCAGCACCGCCCCCCCUCCACAGUGGGCGGCGACCCAGCGGCUCGGAUCGGAUUCGCACAGUCAGCACUGCAGUGAGAGAGAGUGAGUGAGCCAGGUAGGGGCAGAGAGCUGCGCGUGUGAGCGCCCCCCCCCCCCGAUGUUGCGGCCGGUGCGGCUGGCCCACCCUGCACCCCCCACACUACGCCACUGUUUUAUAUCAAUCCAUAAUUAUCCAUGGUAAUUGGUACACAACAAGUGAAAUCAAAAUCCCGCUAAUGUUUCCUUCUGCUUACAGUGGUCUCCUAAAUAGUUUAUAAUUUUUUCCCAUUCUUUUGUAAAGUUUUUAUCCUCUUGGCUGAGGUAAUGCCAUUGAUUCCAAUGGGAUGAACAUCUGCAGGGGUGUACUUAGAGUCAGAGUGUAAAAUAUGUACAGUUUGGAUUCUGCUCCUUCCAAAUCAUCAGGCUCCCUUGACACUGUUAGUGAGCACACAAAACCAAGCAGAGCAUCCUAAGCCUCUUGAAGGUAGAACAGAUCUUAGUUAGAGAGCUGGGGCUCAGCAAGGGAUGGGGCAGAAACCCAUUCAAUUCACAUUUAAAGGUAAACCUGCCCAAUGUGCAAUUUCUAGAAUGAAAUGUGAUUCGAAGCACAGUCAUACUUCUCUGAAAUUUGCAAUGCAAUUCUUCAGCCCAGUAAUGUGUACCAAAAUGCAUAUACAGUGGUACCUCGGGUUACGUAUGCUUCAGGUUACGUACACUUCAGGUUACAGACUCUGCUAACCCAGAAAUAAUACCUCGGGUUAAGAACUUUGCUUCAGGAUGAAAACAGAAAACGUGCUCCAACGGUGCGGCGGCAGCAGGAGGCCCCAUUAGCUAAAGUGGUGCUUCAGGUUAAGAACAGUUUCAGGUUAAGAACGGACCUCCAGAACGAAUUAAGUACGUAACCCGAGGUACCACUGUACGAGGGCAAAGUUUCAGGAAACUCAAAUUCAAUCAUUCCUCCUUAAAUGUGAACGCAAUCUAAUUUCUCCCCCAUCCGGAGUUGAAUGUCAUUUGCGAAUUUUGUUUUGCCCCUGCAGAAAAGACCAGAGUUGACUAUCCAUCCAUGCCUUAUGCCAAUUCUUCAGCUGUGCGGGAGUUCUACCUGGUGGGGUUCCCCACAGAACCUUCCACGCAGUUGCUUCUCUUCUUCCUGGUGUUGACCAACUACCUCAUCACACUCUCAGGGAACACGGUCAUCAUCUGCAUCACUCUGUCCGACCAUCGCCUGCAGAGCCCCAUGUACUUCUUCCUCCGCAAUUUCUCCUUUGCAGAAAUUUGGUUCACGACGGUGACGGUGCCUAAGCUUUUGGCCGGGUUCCUCUGGGGAAGCCACACCAUCUCCUUCGCUGGUUGCAUGACUCAAUGUUACUUCUACUUUCUCCUCGGGGCUACUGAGUUCUUGCUUUUAGGAGUCAUGUCCUUUGACCGCUAUCAAGCCGUGUGCAACCCCUUGCGCUACCCAGCACUGAUGACCAGGAAGUUCUGCCUUAAGUUGGUCUGUGGGACAUGGGUAGCAGCCUUCUUCACUAUCCUUGGCCAGCUCAUCAUGGUCACUGGUCUACCCUACUGUGACUCCAACGUCAUCAACCAUUUCUUCUGCGACCGCACGCCCUUGGUGAACCUGGCUUGCACCGACACCGAAUGGGUGGAGACCAUCAACUUGGUUCUGGCUGGGGGGCUCAUCCUCGGAUCCUUGGUUCUGACUGUCAUCUCCUAUUGUUUGAUCACCCUGGCUGUUCUGAGGAUCCCCUCCGUGCAAGGUCGAAGCAAGGCCUUCUCCACUUGCGCCUCCCACAUGGUUGUGGUCACCAUCGUAUACGGCAGCCACAUCUUCAUGCAUGUCCGCACCACACACACCUAUACUGAAAGGGUGGACAAAGUGGUGGCUCUUUUGACUAGUGUGGUGGCCCCAUCACUCAACCCCUUCAUCUACACCCUGCGGAAUGAGAAGGUCAAGGAAGCCCUUCUAGAUGCUGCAAGGAAGAGAGGACUGUUCCUCAAGGAAGAAGUAAAGGAAAAGACUGGGAAAAACUUUCACAAAAUUGUGGCGGGUGAGAUGUGAAGCUGCUGGUGUGACCAGAUGUAGGUUUGGGGGUCCUGCUACAUUUCCACAGGGAAGGACAGGAGCUCCUUCACUGAGUACCUUCAAGGCAAUGUUGGACUAAUUUCUAUUUAUGAAACAAGCAUAUUCUGCUUUCUUCCCCAGAGC